AUUAGUGGCGAACGGGUGAGUAACACGUGAGUAACCUUCCCUUGACUCUGGGAUAAGCCUGGGAAACUGGGUCUAAUACCGGAUAUGACCAUUGGCCGCAUGGCCUGGUGGUGGAAAGCUUUUGUGGUUUUGGAUGGACUCGCGGCCUAUCAGCUUGUUGGUGAGGUAAUGGCUCACCAAGGCGACGACGGGUAGCCGGCCUGAGAGGGUGACCGGCCACACUGGGACUGAGACACGGCCCAGACUCCUACGGGAGGCAGCAGUGGGGAAUAUUGCACAAUGGGCGCAAGCCUGAUGCAGCGACGCCGCGUGAUGGAUGAAGGCCUUCGGGUUGUAAACAUCUUUCAGUAGGGAAGAAGCGAAAGUGACGGUACCUGCAGAAGAAGCGCCGGCUAACUACGUGCCAGCAGCCGCGGUAAUACGUAGGGCGCAAGCGUUAUCCGGAAUUAUUGGGCGUAAAGAGCUCGUAGGCGGUUUGUCGCGUCUGCUGUGAAAGCCCGGGGCUCAACCCCGGGUCUGCAGUGGGUACGGGCAGACUAGAGUGCAGUAGGGGAGACUGGAAUUCCUGGUGUAGCGGUGAAAUGCGCAGAUAUCAGGAGGAACACCGAUGGCGAAGGCAGGUCUCUGGGCUGUAACUGACGCUGAGGAGCGAAAGCAUGGGGAGCGAACAGGAUUAGAUACCCUGGUAGUCCAUGCCGUAAACGUUGGGCACUAGGUGUGGGGGACAUUCCACGUUUUCCGCGCCGUAGCUAACGCAUUAAGUGCCCCGCCUGGGGAGUACGGCCGCAAGGCUAAAACUCAAAGGAAUUGACGGGGGCCCGCACAAGCGGCGGAGCAUGCGGAUUAUUUCGAUGCAACGCGAAGACCCUUACCAAGGCUUGACAUGAACCGGAAACGUCUGGAACCAGGCGCCCCACUUGUGGUCGGUUUACAGGUGGUGCAUGGUGGUCGUCAGCUCGUGUCGUGAGAUGUUGGGUUAAGUCCCGCAACGAGCGCAACCCUCGUUCCAUGUUGCCAGCGCGUUAGGGCGGGGAUUCAUGGGAGACUGCCGGGGUCAAUGGGAGGAAGGGGGGGAGGACGUCAAAUCAUCAUGCCCCUUAUUUCUUGGGCUUCACGCUUGUUACAAUGGCCGGUACAAAGGGUUGGGAUACUGUGAGGGGGAGUUAAUCCCAAAAAGCCGGUUUCAGUUCGGAUUGGGGUCUGCAAUUGGACCCCAUGAAGUGGGAGUCGUUAGUAAUCGCAGAUCAGCAACGUUGCGGGGAAUACGUUCCCGGCCCUUGUACACACCGCCCGUCAAGU
rnacentral:rRNA from 1 species